UAACACCGCCUGUUGUUAAAACACUAUAUAGUACAGGGUUGGAUCAUGGUGUUAAACAUAUUUAACGACGGAUAGUGUGUUCUCUCAAUCCGGGUACUUUUACGUGAUGUGCGUGAAAUUAUUUAGAUCUCCGCCAUCUUUUUGAUGCAACCAUCAGUCUUGAGAGACCGCAGUCCGUGACGCAUGUUCUCCGUCAAGUCUCCGUCUAACGGAAGCAGUCCGUCUUGCAGCAAGUGUGAUCGCUUGGCCUCGCCCUCGACAGACUGCAGUCAGUGAGUGACGCACUAUCUCAGUGUCACCUAAGCAGCCAUCAGUCCCCGCAGGUUUCGACCGUGUGGUCUCAACAGACCGCGU